rnacentral:lncRNA from 1 species
AUUUCUUACUAAAGUAGUAAGCAAGGGAAUGUCGCUCUGACUCAAGACCCAACCUGUUUAUACCACAAUUAGCACCAGAAGCAUCACACUCUACUUCAAACCUUUUCAAAAAAUCUGGGAGGCGCAUAACAGGUGCUUCCUCAUUUUCUUUUACUUUCCCAAAUGCUUUGGGCGCGUUGCAUUGUCACAUGAUUUGAAAUUCAUAUUUUUUUUAGGCAAUCGUAAUGAGGAGACAUAUGAUGGUGCUUAAGAACCGCUCGAAGAAUCGGACGAUAAAAUUAGCGAGCGCCCAUUGAAAGCUACGACCGUCAUGAAUAGACUUGGGCUUCAGGCCAAUCGACGAUUGACCUGAAUUUGGACGGGAGUCAUAGAACGCCUUUGGAUGAAAACAACAAAUCUAAGAAGACAACACCACCAGUGAAAAAAUGAAUAUUUUAGAUUUGACGUAAAGUUUUUCUCUUUAAAGUGUAGCGCAAACCUGCAGGAAAGUGGCCAAAUGUUGACCUCGAUUUACUAUAAUGAGGAUUGUCAGUUCAAAGUACACUAACCACGAAAUGUAUCCACAAUGAAAGGCCUGAGUACUGAGUCAUCACUCGCAUGAAAACUUGGAGCAUUAGAAAGGCCAAAUGGCAUGAACUACCCAUUCGUACAAACCCAUCCUUAGGUCGAUGAAAGGCAGUUUUCACUCAUCAUCCACCAGGACGGAUUCGAAUUUUAUGGUAAUACAUUUUUCAGAUCAAUUUUGGAAAAAAAACAGUGGCCUCCAACCAUCAUGUCAAAACAUAUCAUCAAUUCUAGGCCGCAUAGAAAAACGGACUUGAAGUGAUUAGGAAUGGCGCGGACUAUCCACGCACAAUUCUCCAGAAGACCGUCUUCUAGGGGUUAGAAGUGCGGGCAUAGACACGGAAUCGUACUCUCCCUACGAACACCUUUGUGCAAGAGAUCACCAAUCUGGCGCUCAACUCAGCAUGUUCACUAGAGUUCAUCCGAUAAUGAGAGGGAAAUUGGGGAGGUAGCUCUCAGAACAAGAUCAAUGGGUGUUGAAGUCACGCAUCGGUGUUAAAUUGCAGGGAGAUUUACGGGAAAAAACCUCAUGGAGAUUCUUGGAGAGAUAGAAGUAUAUUUUCAUCAGGAGGCGUAUCCUGAACUCUCGUGAGACUGGAAGGUCAUCAAUUGCCAACUACUGCAAUAAAUAGAUUGAUUCGUUGAUCUCUCUUUGAUCAUAAUGUUCAAGCCUAUUACUAUUGUGGAUUUUCCUCUUUGUUUUGAGGAGGCUUUGGUUGGGUUUUGUUUUUGAUGAAGCAGGUUAGCUUGAUUCGCUUGUUCUCAAAAAGACAAAAGAAGAACAAGAAUGUUGAGCGUCCGUAAAUGGUGAAAAUCCAUGUCAAAGAGCCAUGAGUCGACCCAAAACUUAUGUGUCCAACCAUCCAUAGGAAACCACAUCGCACCAAAUUUUGUCACUAUAGCGAAAGGAUAGAUGAAUGGGACAAGGACCAUAUUUGCUUUAUGGAAAUUGACAAGGUCAAACCCCACGGAGACGCAGGUACGAAUUAGGAUGGGGAACUGGGCUUUAAACCAAUGCGGAAAGACAGUGGAUGAAGAAACAGCAUUGAUACAACUCACGCUUUCGUUAAAAUGACCGUGUAUCCUUUUCUCCGCAUUUGAUGUACGUGUGAAAAGAUCGCAUUUCGCCUACAAUCAAUGGCAUUCUUGAAGCCUGUGUCAAAGCACACCUAACAACACCUAAAGGGGACGGCGGUGACAUCUCCUCCCUCACAAUCCUCGUCAGACUCGGGAAGAUUUUCACGUCAGGCUCAUAAAGUUGCUCUUCAAUAUCAUCCAUUCAUAGUUCUGGCUUGUGGAGUUGACAAAGAGAGUUCAGUUGACAAUUGGCGGCUUGUUGUGACAAAAAACUUGGCAUUUAUAGCAUUGAAAGAGUUUGAGAUUUUAUCCCUGGAUAGCAAAUGCCCUUUUUUUUACCGUCUAUGAUAGGAGGUGCAGUCGUGAGGUAUCUAACCUAGACGGGUGGUAAGGUAACGGAAGGCCGGGGUUUGUGUUCGCUCUCAAAACGGACGUCCCCAAAAAUAGGUUGUUUGACCAUACAUAGGUUGGGAACAAAGGUGGUAUGCCUUGUCAAGAGUUGUAAAUUCCCUUAAGAACAAGUCUUCAUAAGCUCGUCAUUUGAGACCAUGUCGAAUAAGCGAAUCAGGAAGUCAUUCUCUCGUCGCUCCCUAAUGUUACAACGCAUAAAUAUUCUCAAAUUGCGCAACAUAUUCGGUAGCGGGUUGGAAACCUGAGAAGAUUGUUUACGUGUCUAGGCCUAUAACCUUGAUUAGGACUGAAGGACGAUAUGUUUUUUUUUCAAGAUUUCUUUCAUCUCAACCCAAAAUCAGGUACGGGAGGUUGUGUGUUGCUCAAUAACUCUGCCCCAAAAAGUUUAGGCUCAUGCCGAUUAGUUUAAUUAGCAAACCGGACUUUCCUAUCAGUCGGACAAAAUUGU